CAGCCGCCACGGUAAUACGGAGGAUCCAAGCGUUAUCCGGAUUUAUUGGGUUUAAAGGGUGCGUAGGUGGCCUGUUAAGUCAGGGGUGAAAGACGGUAGCUCAACUAUCGCAGUGCCUUUGAUACUGACGGGCUUGAAUGAACUAGAGGUAGGCGGAAUGUGACAAGUAGCGGUGAAAUGCAUAGAUAUGUCACAGAACACCAAUUGCGAAGGCAGCUUACUAUGGUUUUAUUGACACUGAGGCACGAAAGCGUGGGGAUCAAACAGGAUUAGAUACCCGUGUAGUCCCUGUCUCUUAUAC
rnacentral:rRNA from 1 species